UACGGAGGGUGCGAGCGUUAAUCGGAAUAACUGGGCGUAAAGGGCACGCAGGCGGGUUUUUAAGUGAGAUGUGAAAUCCCCGGGCUUAACCUGGGAAUUGCAUUUGAAACUGGGAGUCUAGAGUACUGUAGGGGGGGGUAGAAUUCCACGUGUAGCGGUGAAAUGCGUAGAGAUGUGGAGGAAUACCGGUGGCGAAGGCGGCCCCCUGGACAUGGACUGACGCUCAGGUGCGAAAGCGUGGGGAGCAAACAGG
rnacentral:rRNA from 1 species